rnacentral:rRNA from 1 species
GAACGAUGAAGCCCAGCUUGCUGGGUGGAUUAGUGGCGAACGGGUGAGUAACACGUGAGCAACCUGCCCCUGACUCUGGGAUAAGCGCUGGAAACGGCGUCUAAUACUGGAUAUGUCCCAUCACCGCAUGGUGUGUGGGUGGAAAGAUUUUUCGGUUGGGGAUGGGCUCGCGGCCUAUCAGCUUGUUGGUGAGGUAAUGGCUCACCAAGGCGUCGACGGGUAGCCGGCCUGAGAGGGUGACCGGCCACACUGGGACUGAGACACGGCCCAGACUCCUACGGGAGGCAGCAGUGGGGAAUAUUGCACAAUGGGCGGAAGCCUGAUGCAGCAACGCCGCGUGAGGGAUGACGGCCUUCGGGUUGUAAACCUCUUUUAGCAGGGAAGAAGCGAAAGUGACGGUACCUGCAGAAAAAGCACCGGCUAACUACGUGCCAGCAGCCGCGGUAAUACGUAGGGUGCAAGCGUUAUCCGGAAUUAUUGGGCGUAAAGAGCUCGUAGGCGGUUUGUCGCGUCUGCUGUGAAAUCCCGAGGCUCAACUUCGGGCUUGCAGUGGGUACGGGCAGACUAGAGUGCGGU